CUUCAAACACCUAAAUCUAUUAACUUUGCUCAAAUGCUUUGUCAGAAUUCUUACUUCUAUGGGACGGUUCUGUUUCAAUAGAAAACUGCAUUAAUUUUAGUUAUGGGCAAGAAACAUUUCCCUCUCUUUCACUCAACUAUGAGGAUUUUCUUCCAUUGGCUCUGUGGUGCUAACAGAUGCAGUAGGCAUGAUGGUGAUGUGUUUACCUAUCUUCUCAAUGGUCAGUACUGUAGCUUAUUGAGAGAUAGACAAGCUGCAAGUGCAUGUCCAUUUGCAGCUCAAUUAUAUAGGCUUCUGGUGUAUUCUCUGGCAAAGUCUACAAGCAGGUAUGUUCCUGUGGCUCUUAUCUGUAUCCUGU